rnacentral:rRNA from 1 species
CGGCCGAGUACGAACGCGCAGGCUCAUUACACAGCUAAAAUGUAUACGGUGAGAUACCAUUAAAUGGAUAUCUGCGGUAAAUCUGGAGCUAAUACAUGCAUAAAUGAUUGUAUAAUUAUUGUCUGUAUGGUGCAGUUAUUAAUUAAAACCAAUGGGCUCUGCCCAUAUAUGUUAACUCUAGAUAAUGCGUUACCAUACAGAUUAAUUUCUGAUGGAAUGCCGUAUUUGUAUCUGCCCUAUCAACUAUAUAACCGUGUAUUGAACGGUUAUGGUGUUGCCGGGUAACGGAGAAUUAGGGUUCGUCUCCGGAGAGAAUGCCUUAAAAACGGCUUUCACAUCCAAGGAAGGCAGCAGGCGCGAAAAUUACCCACUCUCAGUGCGAAGGAGGUAGUGACGUGAAAUGACAAGUUCCAUUCUUUAUAGGAUGGGAACAUUGGAAAUGGGUUUAUUUUAAAAUCCAUUUGAAGAUUUAUCAAUGAGAGGGCAAGUCUGGUGCCCAGCAGCCGCGGUAAUUCCCAGCUCUCAUACUGCAUUGAAUUGCUGUUGCGGUUAAAAAGUUCGUAGUUGCAAGUGUACGGAGUGGGGAUGGUUUAACUUUAUGGUUAUACCAUUUUUUCCCGGUAAAAAGUUAUAUUUGGUUAAAUACCCAUACACCUUCAUUACAUUUGGAUAAAUUCAAAGGGCUUAAAACAAGCUUUUCGUUUGAUUGUUUGUGCUUGAAAAAAACAAAAAAAGCGCUUUGAUAUUUGUUUUGUGGGUUUAAGUGCCAGAGAGUGAUUAAAGAGAACAACCGGGCGCAGAAAUUAUAAAGGGAGAGAGGAGAAUUUCGGGACCCGUGUGAAACUGCUAAAGACAAAACUAUGUCCGAAAUGG